rnacentral:rRNA from 1 species
UACGGAGGGUGCGAGCGUUGUCCGGAAUCACUGGGCGUAAAGGGCGCGUAGGCGGCCUGGCAAGUCGAUGGUGAAAGCCCGAGGCUCAACUUCGGGUCGGCCACUGAUACUGCUGGGCUUGAGUCGACUAGAGGCAGAUGGAAUUCCGGGUGUAGCGGUGGAAUGCGUAGAGAUCCGGAAGAACACCGGUGGCGAAGGCGGUCUGCUGGGGUCGAACUGACGCUAAGGCGCGACAGCGUGGGGAGCAAACAGG